rnacentral:rRNA from 1 species
UACGUAGGGGGCAAGCGUUGUCCGGAUUUAUUGGGCGUAAAGAGCGUGUAGGCGGCUAGAUAGGUCCGUUGUGAAAACUCGAGGCUCAACCUCGAGACGUCGAUGGAAACCAUCUGGCUAGAGUCCGGAAGAGGAGAGUGGAAUUCCUGGUGUAGCGGUGAAAUGCGCAGAUAUCAGGAAGAACACCCGUGGCGAAGGCGGCUCUCUGGGACGGUACUGACGC